AGAGGAAACUAUGGCUGACUGU
rnacentral:miRNA from 1 species